UACGGAGGGUGCAAACGUUGUCCGGAAUCACUGGGCGUAAAGCGCAUGUAGGUGGCUUUAUAAGUAGGCGAUUAAAGACCGAUGCUUAACAUCGGACCAGUUGUCUAAACUGUAUGGCUUGAGGAUGACAGGGGUAAGCGGAACUUUAGGUGUAGGAGUGAAAUCCGUAGAUAUCUAAAGGAACACCAGUGGCGAAGGCGAGUCUCUGGACAUUUCCUGACGCUGAGGCACGAAAGCCAGGGGAGCAAACGGG
rnacentral:rRNA from 1 species